rnacentral:sRNA from 1 species
CUGAUGCUUAUGGAAGGAGGGUGAGAAGCCUCGACCGGUUCGAGCGGAGCGGCUCUGCUGCGACGAACGUCCGAAGGACGCCCCGAAGGGGUGAGCCGCCCUGGCGGCGAAUCAUCCCUCUCUCACCGCCA